UGCCUCAGUAACGGCGAGUGAAGCGGCAACAGCCCAGAUUUGAAAUCUGGCCCCCACUGGGGGCCCGAGUUGUAAUCUGCAGAUGGGUCUUUUGGUGAAGCGGCCGUCCAAGUUCCCUGGAAUGGGACGCCUCAGAGGGUGAGAGCCCCGUACAGGCGGUCGCGGAGCCUCUGUAAAGUCCAUUCGACGAGUCGAGUAGUUUGGAAAUGCUGCUCUAAUCGCGGGGUAAACCUCCCGUAAGGCUAAAUACCGGCCAGAGACCGAUAGCGCACAAGUAGCGUGAGCGAAAGAUGAAAAGGGCCUUGAACAAGGGCGUUAAAAAGUAUGUGAAAUUGUUAUGGGGGAAGCGCUCGAUGCCAGACUCGGGGGCGGUUGGUUACCCGGCGGUCCUCGCCGGCGCACUCUUCCGCUCCCGGGCCAGCAUCGGUUCGGCGCGGGGCUCACUGCCCCGGGGAACGUGGCUCCCUCGGGAGUGUUAUAGCCCCGGCGGAUACGCCCCGUGCCGGACCGAGGACGGCGCCUUCGGGCGUGGAUGCUGGCGUAAUGGCCCCUAGCGACCCGUCUUGAAACACGGACCAAGGAGUUGACCUAGCAUGCGAGUGUACGGGUGCGAAAGCCCUGGCGCGCAAUGAAAGUGAUCAUGGGUGGGAGCCCUUCCGGGCGCACCAUCGGCCGAUCCUGACGUUUCUACAGAUGGAUUUGAGUAAGAGC
rnacentral:rRNA from 1 species